rnacentral:rRNA from 1 species
UAGGUGUGGGGACCAUUCCACGGUUUCCGCGCCGCAGCUAACGCAUUAAGUGCCCCGCCUGGGGAGUACGGCCGCAAGGCUAAAACUCAAAGGAAUUGACGGGGGCCCGCACAAGCGGCGGAGCAUGCGGAUUAAUUCGAUGCAACGCGAAGAACCUUACCAAGGCUUGACAUGUUCUCGAUCGCCGUAGAGAUACGGUUUCCCCUUUGGGGCGGGAUCACAGGUGGUGCAUGGUUGUCGUCAGCUCGUGUCGUGAGAUGUUGGGUUAAGUCCCGCAACGAGCGCAACCCUCGUUCCAUGUUGCCAGCACGUCAUGGUGGGGACUCAUGGGAGACUGCCGGGGUCAACUCGGAGGAAGGUGGGGACGACGUCAAAUCAUCAUGCCCCUUAUGUCUUGGGCUUCACGCAUGCUACAAUGGCCGGUACAAUGGGUUGCGAUACUGUGAGGUGGAGCUAAUCCCAAAAAGCCGGUCUCAGUUCGGAUUGGGGUCUGCAACUCGACCCCAUGAAGUCGGAGUCGCUAGUAAUCGCAGAUCAGCAACGCUGCGGUGAAUACGUUCCCGGGCCUUGUACACACCGCCCGUCAAGUCACGAAAGUCGGUAACACCCGAAGCCGGUGGCCUAACCCUUGUGGGGGGAGCCGUCGAAGGU